CUAUUUCUGGGUUAGCGGAGUGUGUAACCUGAAGCGUAUGUAACCUGAAGCGUAUGUAACCCGAGGUACCACUGUAGUGUCCUGGCAGAAAUUGGUCAAAUGUCCGGGAAAAUCCUAUUUCCCAUAAAACUAGCUCAAAACUGGCAUAUUUUUCCCACGAUUUUGCCAAAAAAGCUCAACAGCUUUGCCCCCCCCCCCCAUGCUCAAUAAGUUUUCUGUUUGGAUUUUCACUGUUUGAAAUACAGUGGUGCCUCGGGUUGCAGACUCUUCAGGUUACAGACUCUGCUAACCCAGAAAUAG